rnacentral:rRNA from 1 species
UAGGGAAUUUUCGUCAAUGGGGGGAACCCUGAACGAGCAAUGCCGCGUGAGUGAGGAAGGUCUUCGGAUCGUAAAGCUCUGUUGUAAGAGAAAAACGACAUUCAUAGGGAAUGAUGAGUGAGUGAUGGUAUCUUACCAGAAAGUCACGGCUAACUACGUGCCAGCAGCCGCGGUAAAACGUAGGUCACAAGCGUUGUCCGGAAUUACUGGGUGUAAAGGGAGCGUAGGCGGAUUUUUAAGUUAAGUGUGAAAGCCUGGGGCUUAACUCCAGAAUUGCACUUAAUACUGGAUUUCUAGAGUGUGGGAGAGGUAAGUGGAAUUCCUAGUGUAGCGGUAGAAUGCGUAGAGAUUAGGAGGAACAUCAGAGGCGAAGGCGGCUUACUGGACCAUAACUGACGCUGAGGCUCGAAAGCGUGGGGAGCAAACAGGAUUAGAUACCCUGGUAGUCCACGCCGUAAACGAUGAUUACUAGGUGUGGGGGGACUGACCCCUUCCGUGCCGCAGUUAACACAAUAAGUAAUCCACCUGGGGAGUACGGUCGCAAGACUGAAACUCAAAGGAAUUGACGGGGGCCCGCACAAGCAGUGGAGUAUGUGGAUUAAUUCGAAGCAACGCGAAGAACCUUACCAGGUCUUGACAUCGAUCGAAUCCGAAAGAGAUUUUGGAGUGCCCUUCGGGGAACGUGAAGACAGGUGGUGCAUGGUUGUCGUCAGCUCGUGUCGUGAGAUGUUGGGUUAAGUCCCGCAACGAGCGCAACCCUUAUGUUUAGUUGCUACGCAAGAGCACUCUAGACAGACUGCCGUUGACAAAACGGAGGAAGGUGGGGAUGACGUCAAAUCAUCAUGCCCCUUAUGACCUGGGCCUCACACGUACUACAAUGGCUGUAAACAGAGGGAAGCUAAGCAGUGAUGUGGAGCAAAUCCCCAAAAGCAGUCUUAGUUCGGAUUGUAGGCUGCAACCCGCCUACAUGAAGUCGGAAUUGCUAGUAAUCGCGGAUCAGCAUGUCGCGGUGAAUACGUUCCC